GUUUGAUCCUGGCUCAGAGCGAACGUUAGCGGCGCGCCUAACACAUGCAAGUCGCACGAGAAAGGGGGCAACCCCCGGUACAGUGGCGCACGGGUGAGUAACACGUGGAUUACCUGCCCUGGAGUGGUGGAUAACCUGCCGAAAGGUGGGCUAAUACAGCAUGAGACCACGCGGUUUCGAUCGUGAGGUCAAAGCGGGCUUCUGUUCACAAGCUCGCGCUCUAGGAUGGGUCCGCGGCCCAUCAGCUAGUUGGUAGGGUAACGGCCUACCAAGGCUACGACGGGUAGCUGGUCUGAGAGGAUGGCCAGCCACACUGGAACUGAGACACGGUCCAGACUCCUACGGGAGGCAGCAGUGGGGAAUCUUGCGCAAUGGACGAAAGUCUGACGCAGCGACGCCGCGUGGGUGACGAAGGCCUCGG
rnacentral:rRNA from 1 species